CCUACGGGAGGCAGCAGUGAGGAAUAUUGGUCAAUGGCCGUAAGGCUGAACCAGCCAAGUCGCGUGAAGGAAGAAGGAUCUAUGGUUUGUAAACUUCUUUUAUAGGGGAAUAAAGGUAUCCACGUGUGGAUAUUUGCAUGUACCCUAUGAAUAAGCAUCGGCUAACUCCGUGCCAGCAGCAGCGGUAAUACGGAGGAUGCGAGCGUUAUCCGGAUUUAUUGGGUUUAAAGGGUGCGUAGGUUGUUUUUUAAGUCAGCGGUGAAAGUUUGUGGCUCAACCAUAAAAUUGCCGUUGAAACUGGAAGACUUGAGUGUGUUUGAGGUAGGCGGAAUUCGUGGUGUAGCGGUGAAAUGCUUAGAUAUCACGAAGAACUCCGAUUGCGAAGGCAGCUUACUAAACUGCCACUGACAUUGAUGCUCGAAAGUGUGGGCAUCAAACAGGAUUAGAUACCCUAGUAGUC
rnacentral:rRNA from 1 species